CAAGGUUGGAGAGCUUAUCCUGGGAGCAGUUUGCCAAUGAGUUUGCAGGAUGGGCUUUUCCAGAUAGUUCCAGAGAACUGAAGAUGAUUGAGUUUGAGCAGCUAAGGCAGACGGAAGAGAUGAGCGUAGAGGAGUUUACAGACAGGUUCCUGGAGCUGUUGCCGUUUGCAGGACAAGGUCUUGACACAGACCUGAAGAAGUCUAGGAGAUAUGUUAUGAAGCUUCAC
rnacentral:lncRNA from 1 species